GACGAACGCUGGCGGCGUGCCUAAUACAUGCAAGUAGAACGCUGAAGAGAGGAGCUUGCUCUUCUUGGAUGAGUUGCGAACGGGUGAGUAACGCGUAAGUAACCUGCCUUGUAGCGAGGGAUAACUAUUGGAAACGAUAGCUAAUACCGCAUAACGAUGAAUGACUCAUGUCAUUUAUUUGAGAGGGGCAAUUGCUCCACUACGAGAUGGACCUGCGUUGUAUUAGCUAGUAGGUGAGGUAACGGCUCACCUAUGCGACGAUACAUAGCCGACCUGAGAGGGUGAUCGGCCACACUGGGACUGAGGCACGGCCCACACUCCUACGGGAGGCAGCAGUAAGGAAUCUUCGGCAAUGGGGGCAACCCUGACCGAGCAACGCCGCGUGAGUGAAGAAGGUUUUCGGAUCGUAAAGCUCUGUUGUAAGUCAAGAACGACUGUGAUAGUGGAAAAUUCACACUGUGACGGUAGCUUACCAGACAGGGACGGCUAACUACGUGCCAUCAGCCGCGGUAAUACGUAGGUCCCGAGUCGUGUCCGGAUUUAUCGUGCAUAAAGCUAGCGCACGCGGUUUGAUAAGUCUGAGGUUAAAAGCUGUGGCUCGACCCUAGUUCGCUUUGGAAACUGUCCAACUUGAGUGCAGAAGGGGAGAGUGGAAUUCCUCUGUGUAGCGGUGAAAUGCUGUAGCAUAUAUGGAGGAACAACCGGUGGCGAAAGCGGCUCUCUGGUCUGUAACUGACACUGAGGCUCGAAAGCGUGGGGAGCGAACAGGAUUAGAUACCCUGGUAGUCCACGCCGUAAACGAUGAGUGCUAUGUGUUGGAUCCUUUCCGGGAUUCAGUGCCGCAGCUAACGCAUUAAGCACUCCGCCUGGGGAGUACGACCGCAAGGUUGAAACUCAAAGGAAUUGACGGGGGCCCGCACAAGCGGUGGAGCAUGUGGUUUAAUUCGAAGCAACGCGAAGACCCUUACCAGGUCUUGACAUCCCGAUGCUAUUUCUAGAGAUAGAAAGUUACUUCUGUACAUCGGUGACAGGUGGUGCAUGGUUGUCGUCAGCUCGUGUCGUGAGAUGUUGGGUUAAGUCCCGCAACGAGCGCAACCCCUAUUGUUAGUUGCCAUCAUUCAGUUGGGCACUCUAGCGAGACUGCCGGUAAUAAUCCGGAGGAAGGUGGGGAUGACGUCAAAUCAUCAUGCCCCUUAUGACCUGGGCUACACACGUGCUACAAUGGUUGGUACAACGAGUUGCGAGUCGGUGACGGCAAGCUAAUCUCUUAAACCCAAUCUCAGUUCGGAUUGUAGGCUGCAAUUCGCCUACAUGAAGUCGGAAUCGUUAGUAAUCGCGGAUCAGCACGCCGCGGUGAAUACGUUCCCGGGCCU
rnacentral:rRNA from 1 species